AUUGAACGCUGGCGGCAUGCCUUACACAUGCAAGUCGAACGGUAACAGGUUAAGCUGACGAGUGGCGAACGGGUGAGUAAUACAUCGGAACGUGCCCAGUAGUGUGGGAUAGCCCGGCGAAAGCCGGAUUAAUACCGCAUACGACCUAAGGGUGAAAGGGGGGGAUCGCAAGACCUCUCGCUAUUGGAGCGGCCGAUGUCAGAUUAGCUAGUUGGCGGGGUAAAAGCUCACCAAGGCGACGAUCUGUAGCUGGUCUGAGAGGACGACCAGCCACACUGGGACUGAGACACGGCCCAGACUCCUACGGGAGGCAGCAGUGGGGAAUUUUGGACAAUGGGCGCAAGCCUGAUCCAGCCAUGCCGCGUGCGGGAAGAAGGCCUUCGGGUUGUAAACCGCUUUUGUCAGGGAAGAAAUCCUUUGGGUUAAUACCUCGGGGGGAUGACGGUACCUGAAGAAUAAGCACCGGCUAACUACGUG
rnacentral:rRNA from 1 species